rnacentral:pre_miRNA from 1 species
UUGUGCUUUCAGCUUCUUUACAGUGCUGCCUUGUUGCGUUCAUGUCAAGCAGCAUUGUACAGGGCUAUGAAAGAACAG